rnacentral:rRNA from 1 species
UUCCGGUUGAUCCUGCCGGAGGCUACUGCUAUCGGGGUUCGAUUAAGCCAUGCAAGUUAAAUGUUCUUCGUGAACAUAGCGAACUGCUCAGUAACACGUGGAUAACCUACCCUUGGGACCGGAAUAACCCCGGGAAACUGGGGAUAAUACCGGAUAAAUCAUAGAUGCUGGAAUGCCCUAUGGUUCAAAGCUCCGGCGCCUAAGGAUGGAUCUGCGGUCUAUCAGGUUGUAGUGGGUGUAACGUACCUACUAGCCAACGACGGAUACGGGUUGUGAGAGCAAGAGCCCGGAGAUGGAUUCUGAGACACGAAUCCAGGCCCUACGGGGUGCAGCAGGCGCGAACACUUUACAAUGCGGGAAACCGCGAUAAGGGAACCCCGAGUGCCAGCAUCAAAUGUUGGCUGUCCGGAUGAUUAAAAAUCAUUUGUUAGCAAGGGCCGGGCAAGACCGGUGCCAGCCGCCGCGGUAACACCGGCGGCCCGAGUGGUAGCCGUUUUUAUUGGGUCUAAAGGGUCCGUAGCCGGCCUGAUAAGUCCUUUGGGAAAUCUGGCAGCUUAACUGUCAGGCUUCUAAGGGAUACUGUCAGGCUUGGGACCGGAAGAGGUAAGGGGUACUCCAGGGGUAGGAGUGAAAUCUUGUAAUCCCUGGGGGACCAUCUGUGGCGAAGGCGCCUUACCAGAACGGGUCCGACGGUGAGGGACGAAAGCUAGGGGAGCAAACCGGAUUAGAUACCCGGGUAGUCCUAGCUGUAAACGAUGCUCGCUAGGUGUCAGACACGGUGCGACCGUGUUUGGUGCCGCAGGGAAGCCGUUAAGCGAGCCACCUGGGAAGUACGGUCGCAAGGCUGAAACUUAAAGGAAUUGGCGGGGGAGCACUACAACGGGUGGAGCCUGCGGUUUAAUUGGAUUCAACGCCGGG